AUGUAUGGUGCUGUGGAAGACACCACCAGUUCGAUUUAUGGCUUCCUUUCAUUAAUGUCAGACCUCAUAUUUGAAGAUGAUGAAGAGAGUGAAAAAGGUGAAGAAGAGACUCCUUUAAAAGUAAAAGAAGAAGUCCAACCACCAGUCAAGAAGAAAGAGAUUCAGAAAGACAAGGCAGAAAAAGAAGAGAAAACUGAAAAAAAGCCACCAACAAAGGAAAUUCAGAUAGAAAAGCCUGAAAAAGAAGAGAAAAUUGAAAAGAAGCUAUUACCUAAGUGUGAGUAUUUUUAAUUAUUUUUAUGGUAAUUUUCUAUAUAUUAGUAGGAAUGUGGAGAGCUGC
rnacentral:lncRNA from 1 species